GCGGUUGGAGAGACGACGGCAGUGAUCACACGUCUUCUGUUGAAAAGAAAUGGAUCCUCGUUUCAGGCUACCAUCAGAAAAACUAAGUUUGCUGUGUAGUGAGGAUCAGCUCUGAUCCUGAUUGCAGAACAUCCCUCAUUACAGAAUCUUGGGUUGUGUCUCUCACCUCAUCUCCACGACCAUCCCAGAAGAUCUAUAAGAUUCCAUCUGGGAAAACACUAGGAGUUCUUGGCAGGGAAAGAAGAGGAUUGCUGGUUGGAAUAAAAACAAGGUUGAAUGAGUUCCAGAAAGCAGGGUUCUCAAACUCGUGGACACCAAUCCGCCGAAGAAGACAAUUUCAAAAAAUCAACUAGAAGCAACAUGCAAAGAAGUAAAAUGAGAGGGACAUCUGGAAAGAAGAGAUCUGGUCCCCAGCAGAAGAAUCUGGAAGCAGCACUCCCAGGCAGAUGGGGGGGGGUGGGUCUCUCUGCUGAGAGCCCUCCAUCAGGAUCGGUGAGGAAGACCAGAAAGAACAAACGGAAGACCCCUGGGAACGGAGAUGGUGGCAGCACCAGCGAAGCACCCCAGCCACCUCGGAAGAAAAGGGCCCGGGCAGACCCCACAGUUGAAAGUGAGGAUGCUUUUAAGAAUAGAAUGGAAGUUAAGGUGAAGAUUCCAGAAGAAUUAAAACCAUGGCUUGUUGAGGACUGGGACUUAGUCACCAGGCAGAAGCAACUUUUCCAACUCCCAGCCAAGAAAAACGUGGAUACUAUUUUGGAAGAAUACGCCAACUGCAAAAGAUCACAAGGCAAUGUUGACAACAAGGAGUAUGCAGUUAAUGAGGUGGUGGGAGGGAUAAAAAGUAUUUCAACGUGAUGUUGGGCACCCAGCUGCUCUACAAAUUUGAGAGGCCCCAGUUUGCUGAAAUUCUCUUGGCUCACCCUGAUGUGCCAAUGUCCCAGGUUUAUGGGGCACCACACCUCCUGAGAUUAUUUCUAAGAAUUGGGGCAAUAUUGGCAUACACACCCCUUGAUGAGAAGAGCCUUGCAUUAUUGUUGGGCUAUUUGCAUGAUUUCCUGAAAUACCUGGCAAAAAAUGCUGUGUCUCUGUUCACUGCCAGCAAUUAUAAAGUGGCUUCUGCUGAGUACCACCGCAAAGCCCUGUGAGGGUCUACUGACCAC